CCUACGGGGGGCAGCAGUGAGGAAUAUUGGUCAAUGGGCGAGAGCCUGAACCAGCCAAGUCGCGUGAGGGAGUACUGCCCUAUGGGUUGUAAACCUCUUUUGUCGGGGAGCAAAAGCCGGACGUGUCCGGCUGUGAGAGUACCCGAAUAAAAAGCAUCGGCAAACUCCGUGCCAGCAGCCGCGGUAAUACGGAGGACGCGAGCGGUAGCCGGAUUUAUUGGGUUUAAAGGGUGCGCAGGCGGAUUUUUAAGUUAGCGGUAAAAUCGUGGGGCUCAACCCCAUCCAGCCGUUGAAACUGGGGAUCUAGAGUGUGCGAGAGGUAUGCGGAAUGCGUGGUGUAGCGGUGAAAUGCAUAGAUAUCACGCAGAACCCCGAUUGCGAAGGCAGCAUACCGGUGCACAACUGACGCUCAGGCACGAAAGCGUGGGUAUCGAACAGGAUUAGAUACCCGAGUAGUC
rnacentral:rRNA from 1 species